rnacentral:rRNA from 1 species
UUGACGGUACCACUAAAGUAAGGGUCGGCUAACUACGUGCCAGCAGCCGCGGUAAUACGUAGGACCCAAGCGUUGUCCGGAAUCACUGGGUGUAAAGGGAGCGCAGGCGGACUUUCAAGUCGAUGGUGAAAUCUUACGGCUCAACCGUAAAACUGCCGUCGAUACUGCUUGUCUUGAGUGUGGAAGAGGGUGGCAGAAUUCAUGGUGUAGCGGUGAAAUGCGUAGAUAUCAUGAAGAAUACCGGUAGCGAAGGCGGCCACCUGGUCCAUUACUGACGCUCAUGCUCGAAAGCGUGGGGAUCAAACAGGAUUAGAUACCCUGGUAGUCCACGCCCUAAACGAUGAAUACUCGGUGUUGGGUCUUUAGACUCAGCGCCUAAGCCAACGCAUUAAGUAUUCCACCUGGGAAGUACGAUCGCAAGGUUGAAACUCAAAGGAAUUGACGGGGGCCCGCACAAGCAGUGGAGCAUGUGGUUUAAUUCGAUGCAACGCGAAGAACCUUACCUGGGCUUGAAAGGCUAGAUUUUAGUCUCUGAAAGGGGAUUACCCGCAAGGGGUCUAGUACAGGUGCUGCAUGGCUGUCGUCAGCUCGUGCCGUGAGGUGUUAGGUUAAGUCCUGCAACGAGCGCAACCCCUACACUUAGUUGCCAUCAGGUAAUGCUGGGCACUCUAAGUGGACUGCCUACGCAAGUAGCGAGGAAGGUGGGGAUGACGUCAAGUCCUCAUGGCCCUUACGCCCAGGGCCACACACGUGCUACAAUGGCCACUACAAAGGGUUGCUAAGCCGCAAGGUGGAGCCAAUCCCAAAAAAGUGGUCUCAGUUCAGAUUGUGGGCUGCAACUCGCCCACAUGAAGCUGGAAUUGCUAGUAAUCGCAGAUCAGCACGCUGCGGUGAAUACGUUCCCGGGCCUUGUACACACCGCCCGUCAAGCCAUGGAAGCUGAGGGUACCCGAAGCCGCUGUGCUAACCGCAAGGAGGCAGGC